UUUUAAUUGGUAGUUGUUGGCUUAUCCUGAAUAAACUUCAAUGAGAGGUACUGCUAAGCUGUUUCGGUUAGUACAACGUCUCAGCGCUUUUUUUGCGGACAGGAGCACAGAAUACACCUAAUCCGGGUUUAAAAGUAUCAUAGCAAAUGAGAGAUGGACAGAGAUACUGAACAACAAGUGAGGAAGUGCGCACUUACAGAACUGCAGCACAAAACACGAGAGGAAGAUGAGCCUGAGCGGCCUGCAGAGACCCAGAAGCACUCCCCACACUCCUAUCAAGUGCCUAGGCCCCUUGCCGAGACAACAAGUCAGGGCACACAGGAGUGCAGGAAAAACAUGAUGUUGUAACUCAGGGGUCCCCAAACUUUCCCAACUCAUGACCCACCUGAGUAGCCAGAUCAUUUUCUGGGACCCAUGCCCAGUGAGACAGUGUGUGAAAAAACAUAGUCUAUAGUACAGUACCAACCAAAAAAUUGCAGCAAUAUAAAGUAAGAAUUAAGGUUUAAAAAUCACUUGCUUACACAAAAUGAUAGAUAGAAAAUUAUUAUAAUAGUAACUGCAAUAACUUGCUGUAUUUUAUCAAGUAAAACAGAAAGGCUACCAGCAGAAAUACAAAA